UAUAGUUCCUACAUCUGUUUCUUUGUGUGUGUCUUGUAACUAAUGUGGGAGGAGCCAUUAACAAACAGCUGGAGCAGAGAGCUGAUCACUGAAAACAGACAGAUUCAGACAGAGAGACAGACAGAGCUGUAUCAGAGAGAGGUGGGACGCUGAAGACAGAAAAAUGUCUUUUUUUGAUUUCUGGAGCAGAACGAAGGAGAGAGGCGCGCUGCUGAGGAGAGCCAAUCAGCUGAGGCUGAAUCCGUCACAGCUGUGUUUGAUGAACCAGCAGAGGUGGAUGCCCUCAAAGCCAAACUGGAUGAAAUAGUCAGGAUUCACAGCCAGGUUGUAGAGGACUCCCCCACUUCAGUGAAGUUGUUUCCGGCGGGACAAAGGCAUCGUAUCCCAAGACAUCCAGGAGAUUGGAGAAAAGAGCCAGCAGCCAUCAGUUAGUUUUCCUUCUACAACUCGAGGUGCCAACACCCUCUAAGUUAUCCAAGCAAUAUUUGUGCCUAUUGUAGUCCAGGAUUGCUUCUUGCUUUCACACAUCCUUUAUUCCCCAUCACUGACUGCUGGUUCCCUGUGUGUUGCUGUCAAAAGAAGCACAUUCCUCCGUUGCUUUGGCAUGUGGGAUAUCGCCGUGGUAGUUUUGGUGAAGCCAAAGACAGAAAACAAAAUCUUCCUCUGUUGCAACUGGAGGAGCUGGGGAGGAAGCUCUGGGUUGUUUCCCCUGUGCCAGUUUUCAUCUGAGGAGUUCCUCUGCCAAGGUGACCGAAGUAAAGACGUUGUCCUCUAAGCUCCUCCGUCAGUUGGAGUCUGAACCCCAUGCCAUUUAUUACUUCCUGAGAGCUUCCAGUGUUGUCAUCCAACAUGCUAUGUAUUGCUUUAUUCUGGUUUAGGCUUUAUCUCCACUUCAUUUAUAAUCCUCCAAUUCUCACACCUUCGCCUCCUGUGCAGGUUUGUAAGGCUGCACAGCAGCUAAAAGAUCUCCUUUGUUAUAAAAAAGUCAAAAGUAGAUCUCAGGCUGCUAAUGCAGGGAACUGCAUACAGGGUGAGCCCUGGUUUGAUACCAGUGGGUACUGGAUUGUAGAGCAGUCUCUCUUCAGUGGUGGGCCCACAUGGUUUUCCUUUCAUGAGGGAUCCACUCAGUCACCGGCUCCUCGGUCUCAGAAAAUGCUCCUAUGUUCUUUUCCAUCAGCUGCUCGGCCUCCACCUCCAUGCCCCCCAACCCCAAUCCUCCCCCAAAGAAGAGGAUUCAGGCACUGGCUAGUAAUCAUCAGUGGUGAUGCAGUCAGCCUCUUUGGAGAUUGGCCCCUCAUUUUCUGGAGAGGAAGUUUCUUCAUCUUGGGCAGAUGUCUUUUCUUCAAGGGCAGAGGACUGCUUGAUGUCCUUGCUCUCUGACCAGAUCAUAUAGACAGUGCUUGAAGCAGUGAUGACCUUCUUGCCAUAUUGCCAGAAUAAAUGUUCUGGAAGCUGUUAGGCUUACUUACAGCAGUAGCUCUGUCUGCACCUGCAUAAACUCCAGGACACGUUUACAAACAGUGUUUGUUGUUGUUUGCGCUGCAGCUGCAGGUUUGAACUCUGCAAAAUGUCCUGUGAUUGUUUUUUUAAGAGUUAAUAUUUUGGGUAUGGUAUCUUUUUAUGAAAAAUACAAGAGUAAAAGUGCUUUUAACAUGUGCUUUGUUAAGAUUCAUUUUGAGGAGAGAGAGGUGGAGGAGAUCGGAAUAACACACUGACCCUGCCAGGUGGAGUCAAACGAUGAGUUUAAUGAACACACGCGUGGGAGAAUGAGCUGACCCUGUACACAGACAGCAUCAAAAUCUCAUCUCAACAAUGACACAGCAUUAGUUUUAUCCCGUCGAGGUAUAUUUUUACUGACGCCCUCUCUACGUCAGUCACAUGCAUCAGUUUCAAAACCACAAAUGUUCUAUUUGACAACUUGUGACACAAUUAAAAGAACAUUGCCUCGUCCAUAUCCCAGGUGCACUCAAAAAAGUCAACUAAGGCAGUUGUUUGAUUAAUUCAAUAGACAUUUGUCUAUUUAACAUGAACGUAUUGAGUUUAGGUUUUUAAAUCAUUAUCAGUUGUUGGUUUAACAUAAAAUAACAAAAAGUUUAAUGAACUAGAUUUGCAUUAUUCAGUUCAAUUAAAUGUAAUCAUUUUAAAUCAACAACUCUAAAACCGAUGCCUAGUGCGCAUGCUCAAACUUCCCAGAAGUGAAGAGGCGGGAACGCGGAAAAAGUUAUGUGUUCAGUGAACUGCCGUUUCCCUCUGCGGAUUCUUCCACAAUACAGGUAAGUAAUAAAUAACUGAAAAUAUCUUAGUCAAACGAAGUUGUUCCGUUGGUUAAUUGUUUAACAAUGUUUUUAAUUCCAAAUGUGUAAUUUGUCAUUAGACAGCGGGAGUGGAGCAAAUACAGUGAAAAUCGGGUAUUAGACGGUACCAAUCGGUACCGUCUAAUACCUGAUUUCUAAUCCGCUCCGGCUAUAUUUAUAUUAUUAUUAGCAUUUCCACUUCAUUGCUUUUCUUUUUUUUGGUUACCCGUUUUUGCAGUUAGUCUUAUAGUGUUUUUAGCGGUUAUUGAUAUGUUUAGUUCAAUAUCUAACACGUUUGUAAUUCACUUUCAAAGUAAAUGAAGUUAGCUAAAGCUAGUAUGGUUGUCUCAUUAAACUUUUACCUAGCUCUGUUAGCAUUCACUUUGGUUUUAACUGACGGUUAUUGCAAGACAUGGUCUUUCUUCACUUUUUCUUAUUAUCAUUUGCAUUUCUUCUUCUUUCUUUCUUUCUUUCUUUCUUUCUCUCUCCUUUUUUUUUUAAGCAUUCGGCCUCUCGCGGUAAUGCAAGUUAAACUAGCGUGCGCGAGUUGCUAAAUAUUAGCUGUGUCUAAAUUCAGGGGCUGCAUCCUUCGAAUUGACUUGAACGCUAGUGCAUGGGAAAAAGAGCAUGAACACGAGGUCAGAGGAAAAGGCAAUGGCGGAUAGUUGUGAAAAUUGCCUGUCGGACCUUUACCGCAACUACCAGCAUCUUUAUUGCAUAGUGUGAAACACUGCUAUUACAUUUGGCAAGAGAUUGGAUAUUUAUCUGUGAAUUUUAUAUUGCACGAGGUAUUUAUAUGUAUUUGUACUUUUUUUAAUAUACAUUUGCAACAAAGUAAAAAAAAUCCACUGUGGAAUUUUUAUAAAAUAAUUUUGUCUGUUUUCUUUACCAUAGUAACACCACAAAGAAAGCUGCCCCCUUUUCCUGAUUGUUUGUGCCUCCUCUUUAAUACAUGUGACUUGUAUGUGGCAGUGCAAGCGUCGUUCCAUCAGGGAGAGUAGUAGAUUGACAAGGAGUUUCUGCGAAUCACCACAAAGCCUCUGCUAUCCACUUUCUUUGCCGAGCUUGACCAAUACGCGCCACACUUAAUGGAAAUCUUUCUGAGCAAAGGAGGGACACCUGGAAAGAAAAUAAGAGCAUGACAACAUCCAUACCAGACGAGCAUGCAUCUUGAAGUCCUUGUGCAUCUACCUAAACGAAGACUAUGAGAAGUUAAUAAAGGAGUACUUGGAUACGGAAAGCGAGGCAAAAAGCUGCAUGGAGCAAACUGUGAUGGGGGUGUACGUCAUCCAGAAGGAGGGGUGCUGAACCUGAAGAUGACCCAGAGGACAUUGGUGUCGUGAUUGAGGGUGUGGAGGCUCUCACUGAUUUGGGUAACAUUGCACAAGCAUGUGCUCUGUUGUUUGGACUCAUAUACUGUUUGAACCUGAGCUACCCACCAGAACUUAAAUGCACCUUUGAAGUCCUCCAGAAGAUAAUUUUAAAUCUUGAUGGACAAAAGCUCUCUUCAAAGGCACAGUUUCUGAAAAACAAGCUUAUGGGGUGAGAGCACUUGAAAAUGACUGAUAGGUCUUGAAUGGUUCAUUGGUGCAAUGGUGAUUUCCAAUAUAUAAUGUUAACAUUUGAGUUUAUAUUUUUUUUCUUUCAUUUAAAAAAUAUAUUUUUUUAAGUUUUUGGAUUCUCUCUGUUGGGCAAUUCACCUUUUAUACAGCACUGCAGAUGAUUUUUGUUUGUCUUUAUAUAGAUGGCUCAAAAUGGAUCAGAAGUACUGUUCUGUUAAUUAUUUUUCAUUUAAUUUCAAGUUUGUAGUAUAGGUACUAAUUCACACAUACCAUAAUGCUGUCAUGUGUUGAAUGAAGAUAUCAUUGGAGUGCUUUAGUGCCCCCCUCUUUUUUUCCCCCUUUGUAGAACAAAGUCAACAUUUUACAGAAACUGCAUUGAGGGGUUUUCCCCGAGAAAUGUUCAUUGUUGUUUUUAGCUGCACUGUUACUAUGUUUAUGUGUCAAGGGCCUGUAAAGUUUAAGACCACUGCCACCUGUUAAGUUCACUGUAUUAUUUUAUUGUGUCAAUUUUGCUUGCUAGUAUGUUUUAAAACACAGCAAAACUAUAUUGCUAGCUGUGGAGAACUGCAACCAAAAUUAAAAAAUAAAUACAGAAAUAUAAAAAUUGGUCAAACUAAUAAUUAUUACAAUGAGAUACACCAAACAAAUGUAGUUUUUCAUUUCAAGUAAUUAAUUGUAUUUGAAAAAAAUUGUCAUGUCAUCUAAUUUGAUGUUAAGCCUUCUGUUUCUAUUUUAGUUUUACUUCCUAAAUUUUUUUCCAAAUUCACACAAUAGUAAUUCUAUUUUGUCAAAUGUUUUAACUUGCCAAGUGGGAGUGUAUUUUUAUCUUUUAGUUUAAUUUUUUAAAAUACAGUUAAUAUAUUGAGCAAAUUUUGCAUCUAUUUUUAGUUGUGGAAGCUUUGGUUCCAACAUAUUACCUAUAUAAAUAUUCUAACGUUUUACCUUUUGAAGUGGCAUAAUGCUUGCAGGUGUACAAAAUGGUAAGCUUUUAUAUUGUCCACUAAAUGCAGUUAAUAAAGUUAAUGUUAUCAUAAUCUGAUUGUGACUUUUUUGUAAAGUAGUGGGUUUCUAAAUGUGUAACAAAUGAAAACAAAUCUAAUUGAAAUAAUUCGAUUGAAAUGAGUGAAAUCAUCAGCCCCAUAUUGGUUUAUUAAGCAAGACUUGCAGUAAUUGCCUUGAUUAACAAAGUAGUUGUUCAAACAACAAGAUUUAAUUGUGUUUUCCAAAAGUUUUUAACCUGUGUAGAAUGAAUUAAAACACAUUUCACUCUAUAUACUUAAAUAAAUCACUUCAAACCAAUGCAAGUAUACCAUGUUGAUCCAACGUAAUCGGAUUACAUUAAACCACCAAAUGCCAAAUGUGUUGGUUUGACAUGAUCGAAAAUGGUUUAUUGUACUUGGUUGAAUUGUGUGCAAAUUGGGUGCCAUGAUUAAAUUGUGUUCAUCCAACAUCA